GUCAGCGUGCCCGAGUGGUUAAGGGGAUGGAUUCGAAACCCAUUGUGAUUUCACGCGCAGGUUCAAAUCCUGCCGCUGACG
rfam:Ectocarpus siliculosus strain Ec 32, whole genome shotgun sequence assembly, chromosome LG04